GUGAAGGUGAAAGCAAUCCUUUGUUUUCGCCUUUCUUCCUUUUUUGUUGGCCGCUACGACUGUUCGAUCGGAAGUCUUGUUUCAAUGAUUUCUUGUCUCCUUUCCGGGUUGGGGUGUUGGAGAUGUUUGCUUCUCGACGGUUUCGGGCGGAUGGGAUUGGCACUUCCGGAUAUUUGUACAGGAGGAUUUGUCGAUUUCAAAUCUUUCUUAGUCGGUUGAAUAUCUUAGAUUGUUAAGUGCCAUUUAGAAAACGUUUCCUUAUUGGGAAAUACGACCUUUUUUAUCUUCUCUUUUUGAAACUAGGUGUGGGCUUGAUCAAAUUCCGGGCUAUCUUUUGGUGUUAAUGGAAAGCAUCCAGUUUGUUCAUUAACCUGGUGUUCAAGCGGUUUCUUUUUCCUAGCAUCUACUUUUUGUGAUGCCAGUUACCUAAUUUACCUAGUUUUUCAUGCAUUAUCUCUUAGUUCUGUUUUCUGGAAGGUUUCAUGACAAAUUUGUGGUGGAAUGGCUCACUUCUAUCUCACAUUUUCCUAUCAGUUUAACUCUUUUCUACGUGACUCAUUGAUCAAGCAUUGACAUUUACUUUGAUUCUACGCUCCGACAUGUAGUGAUCCAACAUAUUAGUUUUUUAUUUUUUUUAGUUGUUCUCUCUAUUCUUGUUUCCCAUGCUUGCAUGAUUCUUGUGGCUUUGACAUAUGGCAUGAGCAGGAUGUUCAAUUAAAGUCAACGUAGUUUUCAACAAAGGAAAAUAGCUUGACGUAAUUUAUGAGCGUUGGGAACAUAUAUCAUAGUUAUUGAGGUUUCUCACAGGAUCCAAUUGUCAGGCCCUUGCAUGAGCUAGACUCAAAGGCCUUGCAUUCACUUAUACCUGAGAUUCUGUAUUGGAUGAAAAAUCCAAACUGUGAACGAGGGAGCCUUGGUGCAACGGUAAAGUUAUUGCUUUGCGACUAAAAGGUCAUGGGUUCGAAUCCUGGAAACAACUUCUUGCAAAAAAGCAGGGUAAAACUGCGUAGAAUGAAUCCUUCCCUGGAACCACACAUGGCGGGAGCUUUGUGCACCGGGUUGCCCCUUUUUUUUUUCAUUCUGGUUGACUGGCUGUAUAAAUUCAUUCUUGACAUGUGGCCUUGCUUGCAUAAGGCAAUAUGCAAUACAAUUCAGAGUGCAGUGAGGCCAAUAUUUGAUCAGUACACUGGAAAGUACUGGAUCAAGUCAAUUGAAUUUGAUCAUCUAACUCUUGGUUCACUUCCACCUACAAUUCACGGUUUGUAUCGUAAGUUCUCCAUGUAGAGCUAAGUGCUAACUAUAACCUUUGAACAUGUAGGUAAAGGACAAUGAAGUGUUUCUUGGAACUCUUAUGUAGGUACUAAUGAUUUACACAUAAAUGAUUCGUGUCAAGCUGGUCAAAGUAAUUUUUUCUCCUAGUUCUCACUGACUAGUAUUCCAGCCUAAAUUCAUCAGGCGUUUGAUUAUCUUUCUGACAACAAACAAUCAUGUAGAGACUAUAUACAUUGUUAGGAAUGCUUUACAACUUAUGUUUAUUUUACAAGAUUGUGGGACAAUGAGGUCAUAAGGGAACUUCUGCGAAAACACAAAUGUAGUAGUUGUCUAUGACAAGAUUUCCAAUUAGUCGGGUAAGCAAAAAAUUGUCUAUACAAUACACCCCUUGACACAUUCUUGGUUUACCCAUGCCAAGCUUGCUAGUACUCAAUAUUCUUGAAGUUUUAGGAUUUACCAGACAGAUGAUUUUUAGGGUUCUCUGUUAAGUUUUAAUAAGCUAAUUUCAGAUUAAAAGUUUAUUAUAUGCUUGCAAAUAUGUUUAGUUUGAUUGUUGAUAUCUUUAAGGGGGAAUGAUAUAGCAUUUUGUAUGUUUGUAGCAUCUGUUUUUUCUAUAGUACCAUUUAGAGAGAAUCUAUUGAACAUUAAGUUUAUAAGGAUUGAACUUAAGCUAAAUUGUAUUUUGUUCUCGUUUAUAUAGGUGUUAAAGUUUAUGAAACACAAGAGAAAGAAUUAGUUGUUCAACUAGCAGUAAGAUGGGCUGGUAAUACAAAUGUGGCUUUAGUGAUUAAGUUGUCUUUCUUCAAAAUAACAAUACAGGUCAGAAGUUUUAUACAAAUAUUAAAGUAGCCUCUACUCCAUGAUACCAAUUGGACAGAUUUUUAUUUUAGCUGUUGGAUUUACAAAUAUCUUUGAUGCCACGUGUUAUUUUGAAACCACUAGUUCCAAGUUUCCCCUGCUUUGCCAACUUGUCUAUAUCUUUGAUGGAAAAGGUAACAAUAUUCAUCUCUUUGGACAUAUUAAGUGUUCUUGGGAAACAUAUACUGAUAUUUCUCUUUUUGUUAUAUAAAAUUGCAGCCAAAUGUUGACUUUGAAUUCAAAAUUUUUGGUGGAGAUAUAAUGGUGGUACCUGGGUUAUAUAGGUUUAUACAGGUCUUAAGUUUGUCUCUGGAUAGUUAAUUGAACUUUGGUUUUACAGACAGCUACUAGAUUAUCUGCCUUAAUGCCAUUUGGCAUAUAUAAUCAUGUUAAUUUGAUUGUUAGAAAUUUACAAUUAGUUUUAUAUCCAGCCAACUACUUAUUGUAACACUCUUUUGAAACAGGAUACAAUUGCAACACAAGUCUCAGACAUUUAUCAUUGGCCAAAUCUUUUAGAGAUACCUAUUCUUAUUCUAGAUGGUUCAAGAUAAUCUUGAUGUUAAUGUUGCUAAUAAGAGUGUGGAUACUUCCAUUGUAUCAUUGUGUUCCAGCUUUCCUGCUUCCUAGAAUUGUAUUCUAGAGGGUUCAAAGUAAUCUUUUCAUUCCGCAUAGUUAUGGCUAUUCUCUUUCUUUUAAUGUUGUUCAUGUUACUCCUAGAAUGUUGUAUGCUCACCAUCCGACAAUAGGAAACAGAGUGAAACAUAUGCUAGAUCUCCUAAUUCCACAAUGGAAAUGAGUUUAUUGUUCAUUUAGCAUGCCCAAAAGUAUAGCUUCAUUACUAAAUAGUGCAUAAUUCUCAAUAUCUUGAUUUUAUUGACAAUAUCAUUUUGAAAGUACUUCUAAUCAGCCUAGCCUAUUGUGCAUUCACCUAAUUUGUUAAUCAUUUUUGUCAUCAGUUUGCUGUAGUUAAGAUUUAGCUAAAAGGAUUUGCCAAGUACAUGAUGUCUUCUCAUUGCAGUGCUGCAGUAAAGAAACCUGUGAGAAUAUUGAAUGUAAAUGUUGUUUGUGCAUAUGAUCUUCUCAAGAUGGAUAUUCUUGGUAAAUCAGAUCCCUAUGUUAAACUCAGUUUAAGUGGAGAGGGACUGCCUUCAAAGAAGACCUCAAUCAAGAUGCGUAACUUAAAUCCUGAAUGGAAUGAGCAAUUCAAACUUAUUGUAAAAGAUCCAGAGACUCUAGAUGUGCUUUUUCCUCAUGAGACAAAAGAGUUCACUGUUGAUCUUCUGAAGAACAUGAACCCUAAUGACCCACAAAAUAAGCGAAACAGAGGGAAAAUUGUAUUACACUUGACAUUUGAUCCUUUUAAAGAAGACACUGGCACUUUCAGUAAGGUUUUAGAAGAGAAGCUUAGUAGCAUUGACAGUGGGAUUCAGGAUGCAUCUGGUAAUGGUGGGCUUUUGUUGGUUAUUGUUGAAGCUGCAGAAGAUGUCGAAGGAAAGCAUCAUACUAACCCUUAUGCAGUGGUUCUUUUAAGAGGCGAAAAGAAGAAAACUAAAGUCCAAGUUACUGUCUGAGGCAUUUCUAUGAAUUUGGAUGUGAAACCAAAAAGGUGACAAAAAACAGACUGUUUGAGUGAUAUUGAAGCAUGUGGGAUAAAUAGCAAGAAAGUUGUUUGAAGCAGACACUUUCUCAUACUUUUUCAAAAAGCAAUAGGAAGAUCUAAAUCAAAGGUAAUCAGGAGAAGUAGGGAUCCAAGAUGGAACGAGGACUUCCAGUUUAUGCUAGAAGAGGCACCCAAAGGUGAGAAACUUCACGUGGAAGUACUACUAUACAUUUAUAUUGUAACCCAGGGCAGUUUAAUAAUAGUUCUUGAUUGUGUAGCUAUUAUGUGACUACCAUACAUU